rnacentral:rRNA from 1 species
CAGCAGCCACGGUAAUACGGAGGGCGCGAGCGUUACCCGGAUUUACUGGGCGUAAAGGGCGUGUAGGCGGCCUGGGGCGUCCCAUGUGAAAGGCCACGGCUCAACCGUGGAGGAGCGUGGGAUACGCUCAGGCUAGAGGGUGGGAGAGGGUGGUGGAAUUCCCGGAGUAGCGGUGAAAUGCGCAGAUACCGGGAGGAGCGCCGAUGGCGAAGGCAGCCACCUGGUCCACUUCUGACGCUGAGGCGCGAAAGCGUGGGGAGCAAACCGGAUUAGAUACCCCCGUAGUCCCUGUCUCUUAUAA